rnacentral:rRNA from 1 species
UACAGAGGGGGCAAGCGUUGUCCGGAUUCAUUGGGCGUAAAGGGUGCGUAGGCGGCGCGGUAAGUCGGGUGUGAAAUCUCGGGGCUUAACUCCGAAACUGCAUUCGAUACUACCGUGCUUGAGGACUGGAGAGGAGACUGGAAUUUACGGUGUAGCGGUGAAAUGCGUAGAUAUCGUAAGGAAGACCAGUGGCGAAGGCGGGUCUCUGGACAGUUCCUGACGCUGAGGCACGAAGGCCAGGGGAGCAAACGGG